rnacentral:rRNA from 1 species
UACGGAGGGUGCAAGCGUUAUCCGGAUUCACUGGGUUUAAAGGGUGCGUAGGCGGAUAGGUAAGUCCGUGGUGAAAUCCUGCAGCUUAACUGCAGAACUGCCAUGGAUACUAUCUAUCUUGAAUGUCGUGGAGGUUAGCGGAAUAUGUCAUGUAGCGGUGAAAUGCUUAGAGAUGACAUAGAACACCCAUUGCGAAGGCAGCUAACUACGCGAUAAUUGACGCUGAUGCACGAAAGCGUGGGGAUCAAACAGGA